rnacentral:rRNA from 1 species
UGCCGCGUGUGUGAAGAAGGCCUUCGGGUUGUAAAGCACUUUUGUCCGGAAAGAAAUGGCUCUGGUUAAUACCUGGGGUCGAUGACGGUACCGGAAGAAUAAGGACCGGCUAACUACGUGCCAGCAGCCGCGGUAAUACGUAGGGUCCAAGCGUUAAUCGGAAUUACUGGGCGUAAAGCGUGCGCAGGCGGUUGUGCAAGACCGAUGUGAAAUCCCCGAGCUUAACUUGGGAAUUGCAUUGGUGACUGCACGGCUAGAGUGUGUCAGAAGGGGGUAGAAUUCCACGUGUAGCAGUGAAAUGCGUAGAGAUGUGGAGGAAUACCGAUGGCGAAGGCAGCCCCCUGGGAUAACACUGACGCUCAUGCACGAAAGCGUGGGGAGCAAACAGGAUUAAAUACCCUGGUAGUCCACGCCCUAAACGAUGUCAACUAGUUGUUGGGGAUUCAUUUCCUUAGUAACGUAGCUUACGCGUGAAGUUGACCGCCUGGGGAGUACGGUCGCAAGAUUAAAACUCAAAGGAAUUGACGGGGACCCGCACAAGCGGUGGAUGAUGUGGAUUAAUUCGAUGCAACGCGAAAAACCUUACCUACCCUUGACAUGCCACUAACGAAGCAGAGA